UUUAUGCAAAACGCAUUGUUAACAACAAUAUAUUUUAUAUGAAUAGUUAAUGUGGACAGAGAUACAAAAAAUAUGUUGGUAAAUGUUGUUUAUCUAAAUAGUAGAUGGCUGAACUCAACUCAUAAAAAAAAAUUAGUGAGACGCAAGUUUUAUAUUUCUUCAUCAAUAAUGUAUUUUGUUCCAAAUUUGAAGAUUGUUGUAAAUUUGAAAAAUCGACAUUUAUUCAUGGUGAAAUACCACAUUGGAAUGCCAAGUUCAUUGAAAUUCCAUUUUUGGAUAACAACGUUACAAUGACUGUAUUUUUGCCAAAUAAAAAUUUGGAACCUGGAAAUCUGGAGUACCUGAGAAAAAAGCAUAACUUUUCAGAAUUUCAAUCAGUUAGAACUACAUACACAAACAAAUUUGAGCAAGAUACGGAAUUAUAUUUAUCUAAGUUUAUGACUGCAUAUCAUGAAAAUAUGACAGAUUUUUUCCGUAAAAAAUUAAAACUGAUAAUUGCUUGUAAAUGGGCGUUACUACGAUGUUCGGAGAUAAUGCGGAUUUUACACGUCUCUCAGAAAUUCCUUUAAAAGUGAACAAUAUUGUUCAAACAGUUUCCGUGAAGAUUAACGAAGGAAGUUCGGAAGUACCAGAUGGAUACAUCUUUGACAGAAGCGAAGUAAGAGAACCGGUAGGUCCACGGCAAGAGUUGGUCGUAGAUCGUCCGUUUCAUUACUUUAUCGAAGUGUACAAAGAGAUAAUGUUUGCUGGAACCGUGCGAGCACCAGAAUUUAUAUUUCUGAAAAAUGAAUUAUAAAUUCUAUUACAUUCUUGUAUUUAUUGAAAGUUUAUAUCGCACAAUGUAUCUACAGCUUAAAUUUUUUAAAAUU